rnacentral:lncRNA from 1 species
CUCUUCCCUCCCAUGGGGUAUUCCGAAAAAGCUGCAAAGUUCCUCAAUCUAACAGAUUUCUGUAGAGAGAGUGGGCAAAGUUUCGGCCACACAGCUGCUAAUUUUACAGUCUUAUGCUAAGCUUGUGUCUAUCUGGAAGUCGCUUGACUUUGGAAAUGUUCGGGCGGAAUGCUAAGCGAAUAUGUUGCCUGAAUAAUGGAUGGAGAGGCUGUGCAUCGGGUCGGAUCAGUUCAGAUCAGGGCAGAUGGGGCGGCGCUGCUGACCUUGAACGUCAUUGGCAAUACGUCAUUGUGUAAGUGUGUGGGCAGUGUAUGAGUGUAUGAAAAAAAAAAGUAAGCAAUUAC